UUGUCUCUUGAAAAAAUGGGCACUUUUGUGUCCGGAUCCGUAUCUUGUAAGUGCUUUGGCGGAUUUCAUUGAAACUUGGUAUGAGUAUAUAUAUGGAUAAGAGGAUGAUGCACGGCAAAUGGCAUUGUACACCAUCUGUUAAUAACGGAGUUAUGACCUUUUGUAUCUCGAAAAAAUGCUUUUUAAUAUAAUCUUAGAGCUUUAUCUCCAUUAACACGUGAGUCAGAGCCAUGCAAUUUGCCAUAGUUGUUCUCAAUUAUCUGGGGGUGCUUCACAUUCAACACCCAUAAUCCUAGGGGCUAAGGUCUAGGUCACACAUUGAGGUCAAAGGUCACAAAUUUGAUUAAUUAUUCAUUAUUUAGUCAUUCCUUUACUAUGCAUCAAGGGAUUCUAUAAUAACUGUCCACAAUUGUUCUCCAUUAUCUAGCUGCAUGUCAAAUAUAAGAUCCAGGUUGCUAGGGUCAUGGUCACACACAAAGGUCAAAAUCACACAUUUUCAUUGAAUAUGCCUUAUUUGGUAAGGAUUCUACCAUACUUAAAUGGAUUCUCAAAAUGUCCUGAUGUAAUUGUUCUCCAUUAUCAGGCACAACCCUUCACUUAUACCUUUUCUUUUAGUUCUACACCCAUCCAUAAACAAACAUAUUUGGCGGGGCAUAUCAAUUCAACGAAUUUGCUUGUUUUGUACUAAAAUUGGCUUUAUAUCUCGACUUUACUCCCCACAAGUUUUCUUAGUUGAGCUGUAAUUAGGUCAUCCUGCUAAGAAAUUUUGCAGUGAGUAAAGUCCAUAUAAAGAGUGAAUAUUGAUACAACAUUAACACUAGUAACUAUCUUGCUGAUAUGACUGGAAAGUGAGUGGCAUUAAAAAAAUUAACACAAGUAAUAAAGGGUACAACAAAAAUUCUUGCCUCGGCAUGGACGUCGCCAUCUUGACUAUCACGUGAUUACCUUCUCUGUAUAUGAUGGAUGGAGAUCUGUUAUGUUAUAUAUUUUAUCGACAUUUUGUGUGUAUUAGAUAUGAUAGUUGAAGAUCUGUAAUGUCAUUUAAUUAACAUUGUGUGUGUUUUCCAGUUUUGUGUACAAUCUAAAGCAGAGGAGUUUGUGCAUACAUGUAUGUAUGAUAUGUGUGUAAUAUAAGCAGCGUCAUGUGAAAAUGGGUCUUAUGCCAUAUGUUUUCCAUUGUAGUUCUGGGUAUCAAUUUGUAUGUAUAAAGUUGCACAUGAUGUUACAUCUUUCUGUGAAGCUUUUAAAUUGUGUUGCUGUUUGAAGCUCCACUUAUCACCAAAUAAUCUGAGCUAUAAUGCUUACCUAUUUGUCUGUGUCUGCAUAAUGCUGUGCUGAAGGUUAACAUGCAAAUACACAUUAGCAUUCUUUCUACUACAGGUAUUCACUUAAAACUUCAUACAUGUGUUUGGAGUAAUUGUGUGAGGACACAGACCUAGGCCCUUAACUCUGAUCUACAAUUUUGCAGAAUUUUGCCAGUUUUUUCAUCAUCAUGAACACUAACCAAGGCCUGUAAUUCUGACCUGCUAUUAAGCAGAAAUCUGGCCCUGUUUAUACAUAAAAAUAUGUAUCAAUGUUUGCUUGCAACAACUCGUUUCUCUACGUGACAUGCAGAAUAUGUAUAGAGGAAUUGGCUGAAAUUGUGUGUGUAGCUAGCAGACAUUGCUUGCCAAGUUUAUUAAAUUAAACUAAAUUUAUUGGUAAAAAAUUGAAAUCUAGUUUAUUGGCAUGGUAUUUUUUCAUGUUUUAAUUAAUAAAUUUCAAGUUAAAUUGACAUAUACUAUAUACAAUAUAUCUACUACAGAUUAUUCUUCAAAUGUGUCUUUGGGUUUAUAUAUGAUGUGACUGACAGAAAAUGAACAUUAUACUCUCAAAGGGAAGAAUAGUCAAGCAUGUUUUCUUGGAAGAGCUCUUUUUACUUUGUUUGUAUGAAUCUGAUUUCUUUUAAGAUUGUAACCUGGUUUAAUUUCAAACCAGUUUCCAUGUAUGAUAUUAAUAGCUUCCUGUAUGAUGUUAACAGCUUCCUGAAUGAUGUUAAUAGUUUCCUUGUAUGAUGUUAAUAGUUUCCUUGUAUGAUAUUAAUAGUUUCCUUGUACGACAAUAAUAGUACAUUGUUAUGUGUUGCGUUAAAAUGCUAUAUACAUAUUUAAUUGUGAUUACAGUUGAAUUUGUAUGCCCCUUGGAUCGAAUGAUCGGGGGUAUAUUGUUUUUGGCCUGUCUGUCAGUCAUUAUGUCUGUCUCUCCCAAAAAUAAAACCUUAGUCAUAACUUUUGCAAUAUUGAAGAUAGCAACUUAAUAUUUGGCAUGCAUGUGUAUCUUACGGAGCUGCACAUUUUGAGUGGUGAAAGGUCAAGGUCAUCCUUCAAGGUCAAAGGUCAAAUAUAUUGCUUCAAAGCGCAGUAGGGGGCAUUGUGUUUCACAAACACAGCUCUUAUUUACAGCUAAGUUAGAUUUAGAACUUAAUUCAUAUGAGAAACUUCAGGAGUGUUUCACUGUCUUAGAUGUUUAACUUGAAUGUUUUAUUACUCAGUGUGUUUAGUAUUUAGAUAUUAUGACCCACAUCAUGCAAAAAUGGGUCUGGUCGGGAGCUACGCUGAGUGCUUUAGAGUCACACAAGAUUGUCAUAAGCUGGCAGUUUAGCCCCUGACCAGACUGUGCAUUGGCACAUUUUUGCACGACAUGGCUGUUAUUUCAUUACAAAAAUGAAUUCAGAGUUUUUUAAACAUACUUACAAUUACAUUAUCAACGUUAAUGGGAUACUUAUUGUGUCAGAUCAUUUUUAGCUCGGCUGUUUUCGGAGAAAACCCAACGUAUUGUCAUAGCCAGCUCGUCGUCCUCCGUCAGAGUCUGCCGUAGGCGUCAUGCUAAAACCUUAACAUUGGCUCUAAAUCAAAGUGCUUCCACCUACAAUUUUGAAACUUCAUAUGUAGAUGCUCCUUGAUGAGUUCUACACGCCACACCCUUUUUUGGGUCACUAGGUCAAAGGUCAAGGUCACUGUGACCUCUUAAAUAAAACUUUAACAUAGGCUCUAAAAUCAAAGUGCUUCCACCUACAACUUUGAAACUUCAUAUGUAGAUGCACCUUGAUGAGUUCUACACGCCACACCCAAUUUUGGGUCACUGGGUCAAAGGUCAAGGUCACUGUGACCUCUAAAAAAAUAAUUAAAAAAUUCUGACAAGCUUUUGCAGCCGAGCGUUGGCACCCGUUAUGCGGUGCUAUUGUUUAACACAAUAUCUACAAUAUUUAAACUUUUCCCAUCUAUUUUAUGACUUAGUUUUCGAUUUUACUCUUAUGUGAAAGGUAAGAUUUUCGAUAUCUUUUAAAAAAGAACAUGAAAAGUGCCAGUUUAAUUCCUUGGGGAAAAGCAGUGAAAUGUUUUAAUUUUUAAUAUAACUACAGAUACUUUAAUUGUGCUUAGCUUGGCUGUCUGUUUGACAAUAUUGUAAGGCUGUUUAGAGUUCUAAACAUGAGUACUGUUUCAUAAUGACUGUACAGUUAGUGCAGUGGGUGAUACAAGCCCUUCACCACAUAGGCUACCUAGUUCACUAACUGCUCUAGGAAAAUGAGAGUUUAUGACCGUGGUAAGCAUAUGUGGAAGGUGGGGUUUCCUACAGGUACUUGGGUUUCCACCAACAGCACACUACCACACUUAAAUUAGAUAUCUUAACAGUAAAAUCAAAAUAGCUGGUAAUUGCAACUAAAAUGCCAAAUUCGUGUAGUAAUAUAAUGAGGGAGCAGUGCCGAGACACAAUCCCGAUCCUCACAUAAAGCAGCCUUUGAUGACAAAGGACCUCAUAAACAUUUUAAAUACACAGACAGACACUUCCAUAAUGUAAAUAGUAAUGAACAAAAAGCUAUAAAUAUGAGAAGUGUCCUGCGAAAAUGGGUCUUAAGCCAUAUGCAACCAGCGAAGCUCCAGACCAGCCUGCACAAUUGGGCAGUCUGAUCUAGAGCUACGCUGUCCGCUGUAAAGUCACAUAAGGGUUGGUUGUCUCGUAAGCGGACAUCAUAGCUCCUAACCAGACUUCAAUUGUGCAGACUUUUUUGGAGCUUUGCUUGCCUGGUAUGACAUAAGACUCAUUUUCUCAUUAUAACUCUCAAAACAUGCACUGUUUAUAUAACAAUAAAUGAUUGGUUUUGGGUGUUAAAUAUGCAGUAUUGUGGCUAUUUUUUGCUAGAUUGUGGUGCAUAGUUCGCUUCCCCAGUGUGGGAACGAGUUCAUGUGCAAUAACAUAUCGAAAUGUGUAUUAUAUUUUAAGUUAUAUAUUUGUUAACUAUUGUUAACGGAUCAUGGACUUGUUUAAAAGUCAUGACCAGCUAAUAAAUCAUUUCUAUGAAC